rnacentral:rRNA from 1 species
GACGAACGGCUGGCGGCGUGGAUUAGGCAUGCAAGUCGAACGGUAGGAGUACCUUCGGGUAUCUGAGAGUGGCGAACGGGUGAGUAACACGUAGGUGAUCUACCCUCAAGAUUGGGACAACCCAGGGAAACUUGGGCUAAUACCGGAUGAAAGCAGCAGUGAUGUUGUUGUUUAAAGGUGGCGUAAGCUGCCGUUUGGGGAGUGAGCCUGCGCUCUAUUAGUUAGUUGGCGGGGUAAAGGCCCACCAAGGCGAUGAUAGAUAGGCGGCCUUAACGGGUGGUCGCCCACACUGGGAUUGAGAUACGGCCCAGACUCCUACGGGAGGCAGCAGUCGAGAAUAGUCUACAAUGGCCGAAAGGCUGAUAGUGCGACGCCGCGUGAACGAAGAAGCCCUUCGGGGUGUAAAGUUCUUUUAUAUGUGAGCAGUGCUUUCUAUGUGAACAGCAUGGGGAGAGAGAUAUUAGCAUAUGAAUAAGCAACGGCUAACUCCGUG